rnacentral:tRNA from 1 species
GCCACCUUAGCUCAGUUGGUAGAGCGACUGAUUCGUAAUCAGUAGGUCGGCGGUUCAACUCCGCCAGGUGGCUCCA